AUGAUGAACCCAGCCGUUAGCAGGAAGGCGGCACAACAACGUCAGCGGCGCACCUACAGAGUGAGAAGAGAUAUUUUCGCUGAGUACGACGAUGCUGAGUUACUGAAAAGAUUCAGAUUGGACCGUGCUGGUAUUGUUGCAGUGACUGAUAUAGUGAGAGACAAGCUGCAAAGUAAAACUGAAAGAAAUAGAGCCUUGACCCCUGAGAUGGUGGCCAUCACAUUACGAUAUUUAGCCACAGGAAAAAUGCAACAGUGCAGUUGUGAUGAUUUUGGAACAACGCAGCCCACUAUCAGCCGUGCAAUAUCACAGACAAUUGAUGCACUGGCUGACCCAGAAGUAAUCUGGCAGUUCGUGGCUUUCCCUCACACCCAGCGUGAAGUGCAGCAAAAACAGGCAGAGUUCAUGCAAGUAACUCAGUUUCCCGGUGUUGUGGGAGUGAUUGAUGGUACUCAUAUAAGAAUUGUGUCUCCUCAUGUCGAUGAACAUGUAUAUGUGAACAGGAAACGCUAUCACAGCAUAAAUGUGCAAGUAGUAUUUGAUGCUCACUAUAAGAUUCUUGACAUUGUGGCAAGGUGGCCUGGCUCAGUCAACGAUGCAAGAAUACUAGAUAAGUCAGCACUCAAACUGAUGUUUGAGGAACAACAUGUACCUGCAGGAUGCUACCUUCCCGGGGACAGUGGCUAUCCCUGUAAGCAGUGGCUCCUCACUCCUUACCUUCGCCCUCAAACUGUUGCACAAGCUAAUUAUAACAGUUCCAGUACCUUACGAUGCAGCCGAGGGGACUGACGCCACCACCACCACUGCCACCACCGCCACAACAAGGGUUAUUCAAAUGGGGAACAUGCUUCAGGUGUUGCCCCAAGAUGCCUCAGCCCCGCAGCCCCACUUCCCCAUGAUAGUGCAGGCAGGGAAUGUCAUACAGGUUGUUCCAGCUGACAACACGCAGGUAUUAGGGGCAGAAGUCGUUGGAGUUGGUCGGGUCAUGCAAGUGGUCGGAGUCCCAGGCUUUCCCCCGACCCCAGCCCCAGACCCCUGCCCCAGCCACCCCUCUCCCUGUGACCCCUGCCCAGUCAUCCCUCACCCCCUCCUGCCCCCCUGCGGUGCUGCCAGCGGGGGUGAUGGGAGGUGGAGGUGGGCCACACACACCUGGGUUAGCUGUGGCUUGGCUUAUCUCCCUCCUCAGCAGCAAAUCCCGAGGAUCAACGAGGACAUGGUGGACCCAGAGAUUGCAGCAGCAGCAAGAGAGAGAGAGAGAAGCAAGAGAGGAGGGAGAGGAAGGAGAGGAGGAGGAGAGAGAGGGAGGCCAGGAGGGAGGCACGUCAGAGAGAGAGGGAGAGGAAGAGGUUGAUUCUGUUACAACAACAACUGCAACAACAACAACAGUUAGUCAGUGAGGAGGGGGAGGGGCCGUCCUCUGAUGCUGAGGAUGAGGUAUUGUUCAGGGAGGCCAUGUCGGAGGUGCCGGUGGUGGGGUCGCCAGUUCCGGAGUACGAGGUGGAGGAGGAAAAGGAAGAGGAGGACGAGGAGGAGGCACGGAUAAGGAAGAAGAAAAGAUUAUUACCUGUAGCCCUCCCUCCAGCUGAUAAGGGGAUAUUAAGGAGCCCUUCCUACAGGUUCGUUCGAUGCAAGGAGUUGGCACAGGAGGCGUCCGAGGCUGUGUAGAGCGGCCGUCUGAACCUGGUGCCACAGCUUACUAUGUUCAACAGAUGCCUGAAGGAAGUGUGUGUAAGGGAGGAUAAAGAGAUCAUGCUGGCCUAUGCAGACGAUGUCGCUGUCGUGACAGGAAGCCAACAAGAUCUUCAAGAGGCCAUGACAAGAUGGAAUGAUGUUUUAAAUAGGGAAGGAAUGAGAAUGAACAAACAAAAAACUUAUUUACUAGUGGACAAGCAACAAGUGAUGGUGUGGCUCUGAGCCACUGUAGUAGGGAUGUUAUGGUUUAAGUGUAGGAAGUUGCAAAUGCUCACCUAACAAUUGCACCUUAGUAGAAAAACACAAACAGGAAGUUUAUGCAAGUUUUUAUCCUUAUAUAAAAUGUUGUAUUGCAUCAAACCUCCAUACAUUACUGUCUCUAUCCAGUAUGAGACCGGUGUUCAGGAAGCACAAGCAUGUGCUGAAUAACAAGAAGCCGGCAUUGGUGAAGGUGACAACAUUUCAUCUAUUUAUACAUACUUUUUAUUAUUAAAGCUUAUCUUAUAAUUAUUUCUGAAGAGAUUGACUAAUUUUUGUAGUAUUUAUGACUUAGAACUAUGAUAAAGCUAUGAAUUGAUAUAAUUCCUGAUUUGUUUUAUCUUUUCAUUAUCCUUCCUUUGUUAAUUGAGCAUUUUAUAUUACUUAGCUUAAAAAUGCAAGAACGGUUCAGAAGUAUCCAACCUUGGGCUAAGGGCCAAAAUUAUGGUAUCAUUCAAAAUGUCCUUCAAAGAAAGCCCUCUGUAAUCCAACACACUUAGCCCAUUAAUCCUUCCAUUUCUCAUCAAUUUGUUCAACAUUCAUAUUUUUCCCUUAUAGGGUUGAACAAUUUUCAUGGGUUCAGAGCAAAAGGCUUCCUCAUUCCUCCCCAAGGUAUUCUCGGAUGGUAAGCAGGUUUGACUCUGGAGCAAACCUGACCAAGGGCUACUGCCCAAGGCUACAGAGGUUCCUCUCCCUGAGGCUGAAUGCACCAUGUGAGAUGGUUCUGUUAUGUGGAUGAAUGUCAUGGUGGAUAGCAGUGCCACCACAUUCCUACAAUCAUCCAUCACUCCACUGCUCAAACGCUUCUGCAACCAAUGAUAGGUAUGCUGCCACAUUCUGCAUGGUCUCCUUGGCUCUCAGAUAAGGAUACUGUCAACAGGUUUGGGAUUGCCAAAAAAUCAUAAGGAGCUAUGUCUGAAAAGUCCAGAGAGAGAGAGAGAGAGAAAGAAUGAGCAAGAGAAAGAGUAGGAUGAAGCAAAGGAAGAGUCAAGAGGGAGGAAGAGAGAGUAGGACAAGAAAAAACAGAACAAAUAAAUCCCCUACACGUCUUGUCUCCAUUCACACAAGCCAUGAAAAGCUUGUCCAUCCCUGAGUGCUCAGAAGCAGUGUUCCACUGAUGAUGUGGAAACUUGAGACACCCAAUCAUUUAAUGGGCUUUAGUAGGUUUUGUCACCAGUCUUCUGUGUGUCACUGACUACAUUUUGAAAUUUUUAUCUGUUCUAUUUAAUUUUGUGUGUAUGUACACAAUGUUUAUGGUCAAUAAACUAUUUAUAAAACUAUUUAUCUGUGUGAGUAAGAUAAAAGCAGUUAUUGUUAUUAUUAUUAUUAUUAUUAUUAUUAUUAUUAUUAUUAUUAUUAUUAUUAUUAUUAUUAUUACACAUUUUCCUCCUUGUAUUUAAAUAUUAUUAUUAUUAUUAUUAUUAUUAUUAUUAUUAUCAUGAAUUGUUCUUGUUUAUAAAUAAAAUACUGUAACUGA